CCGGCCUCCGGUAAAGCUUCGCAUAAAAGCCUCGCUCUACUCCUGGCUCUGUCCUUCCUAACUUCUCAUUAGGCUUAGCACCCCAGGAUGAGGUGUGAUCCAUGCCGCGUUAACUUAUCUGCCCCUUCUCUACCUUUUCUUUUUUCUUUUUUCCUUCCUUUUCGAGAGCGAGUCUAGCUCUGCCACCGAGGCUGGAGUGCAGUGGCACAAUCUCGGCUCACUGCAGCCGCCGCCUCCCGGGUUCAAGCGAUUCACCUGCCUCAGCCUCCCGAGUAGCUGGGAUUACAGGCCUGCGCCACCACGCCCGGCUAAUUUUUUAUUUUUUUUUAGUAGAUACGGGGCCAGGAGUUUGAGACCAGCAUGGCCAACAUAGUGAGACCCCAU
rnacentral:sRNA from 1 species